rnacentral:rRNA from 1 species
AACGAACGCUGGCGGCAGGCUUAACACAUGCAAGUCGAACGCAUCGCAAGAUGAGUGGCAGACGGGUGAGUAACGCGUGGGAACAUACCCUUUUCUACGGAAUAGCUCUGGGAAACUGGAACUAAUACCGUAUACGCCCUUUACUGGUGGACAGUUUAGGGGAAAGAUUUAUCGGGGAAGGAUUGGCCCGCGUUGGAUUAGCUAGUUGGUGGGGUAACGGCCUACCAAGGCGACGAUCCAUAGCUGGUCUGAGAGGAUGAUCAGCCACAUUGGGACUGAGACACGGCCCAAACUCCUACGGGAGGCAGCAGUGGGGAAUAUUGGACAAUGGGCGCAAGCCUGAUCCAGCCAUGCCGCGUGAGUGAUGAAGGCCUUAGGGUUGUAAAGCUCUUUCACCGAUGAAGAUAAUGACGGUAGUCGGAGAAGUAGCCCCGGCUAACUUCGUGCCAGCAGCCGCAGUAA